rnacentral:rRNA from 1 species
CCAGACUCCUACGGGAGGCAGCAGUGGGGAAUAUUGCACAAUGGGGGAAACCCUGAUGCAGCGACGCCGCGUGAGUGAAGAAGUAUCUCGGUACGUAAAGCUCUAUCAGCAGAGAAGAAAAAAAGUCCUUCGGACUUUGGACGGUACCUGAUUAAGAAGCCCCGGCUAACUACGUGCCAGCAGCCGCGGUAAUACGUAGGGGGCAAGCGUUAUCCGGAUUUACUGGGUGUAAAGGGAGCGUAGACGGCAGAGCAAGUCUGAAGUGAAAGCCCGCGGCCCAACUGCGGGACUGCUUUGGAAACUGCCCGGCUAGAGUGCUGGAGAGGUAAGCGGAAUUCCUAGUGUAGCGGUGAAAUGCGUAGAUAUUAGGAGGAACACCAGUGGCGAAGGCGGCUUACUGGACAGUAACUGACGUUGAGGCUCGAAAGCGUGGGGAGCAAACAGGAUUAGAUACCCCGGUAAAA